rnacentral:lncRNA from 1 species
UCGGUUGGGCUCGAUGACCUUGUGUGUCUCACUGAGGACAUUCUGUGAUUCUCUGCUUGACCCAAAUGCAGAGUACCAUGAGAAGAAUCCCGCUCUUGUAUCAGAUGAGAGUUUUGGCUUCCUUUGGGCCUAACUUUCACCCAGCGUCAUAAAAUUUCACAAGAAUGACACUUGUGCAGCUAUUUUUACUGGCCUUUUAAAGCCAAUUCUCAUUUCUGUUAGUAGGAAUUAGUCCUGACACUUCCUGGUCAGUGUGACCUUGCUUCCCAGUGAAGUGCUGAUUUUGUUCCGCUGUCAAAUUAAUUACAAAUAGGAGAUAGUUCAUAGGGAUUAAUUAGGGCAUGGAUAUAGUGUAUGGAUUCUGGAGCAACAGUUGGUACCACCAGGUUCUGAUUUUUCAUUGGGUGUUUGUUUGGUAUUUGGAAAUGAAAGGGAGAACAAAACCAUUCUAUCUGACAGACCGUUGAUUGUUGUUAUUAUUUCCAUAUCUCCUGCCUGCUCUAAGUCAAGGAUAAUUGGUUAAGAAAAACCCCAAACUGUCCCUUCCUGUUAGAAAUCUGUGUUUCGGGGAUGUUCAAUGAACCAGCUGUCAGUGCAGUUACCAAACAUUCCUUUCUUCAGGUCAUUUAAGGCAGAAAGUUGUUGUUUUCUGUCAAGACUCGUGUUUAGGAAAACGCAAGGUGCCCUUCUCUGUAUUAUUGGUACUUUCCAAGUCUGUUCCAAAGUUGUGCUUGUGCUUUCCUGAGGGAACAGGUCAGCUCGGCGCUGGGAAGCAGGAUAGGUAAGGAGUUUUAAAAGGGAAUUUGAGCCUUACUCGGAGGGAAAGUCCUGGAUUUGCAGCAGUGCUUGCAUUAACUCCGGCACUUCCGCAGCUCUGGGGAGCAGCGGGGACGGAGCUCUGUGGUCACUGGUGGCUCUGCAGGGCUCAGUGGGGGUGGGCUGAGCUGUCCCACAUUUUGGUGUCUGGCGAAUGCCAGAGCUCCAGCGAGGGGCUGGUCCUCAGUGACCCCGAGCUGCAGCACUUGCGGUGCUGGGCUCUCCCCGUGGCAGCCGGCGCUGGCCGGAGCUCUCACCAUGUCUGCGGGCACCGAGGCGGCCAGGCAUCUUCCCCAUCCCUCAGCUGGUUUUGAGCCUCCUGUGUCCACUCUCUGAUGUUGGAACAAGUGCUGAAGGAUGCGGCCGCAGGCGCCCGGGGCUGUCUCGCUAACAAGGAGGUAAGAUCACCCCCCAGCUCCUGAUUGCAGGUGACACAGCCAGAGGUCACAUCCAUCACCUACACCAUAUCAGCAGCUCUCCUUGAGCCCCUGAUCCUUCAUCAUCCUGAUCAUCCCUGAUCAA